rnacentral:lncRNA from 1 species
CGGGAGUCACCUUUGAAAGAGCCGUCCCGGACCCAACCUCAAUCAGGGACAAGGAUUGUUACUAGAAUCGUACCCGGUUACCCUCAUCAGCGGUUCUUUGACUCUCAGGAGGAUCUGAUUGCGCUCUUCUGCUUCAGAUUGGCUACAGACUGAAAAAACAGUUCUAUUUUUAUGGAAUUCCAGGGAACCAGGCUCGAUCCUCCGACUGUAAUCCAGAAGUUAUCUCUCUAGAAUAUCUAAGUUGAACCCUCACAAAAGAUUCUCAUACAUUUGAAGUUCAGGAAAACGUAGGCGACCAUCCAAGAUCAGAAUAAAUAUAUCUUUUUUGGGUCCUUUGGUAAAUACGUGCAAGCGUCGUCAUUUGUGUACCUUUUAAUGUAGCCAUUACAUCAUUCAGAAUUGGAUGUUUAUUAAAUUACUGCAGUGACAGUGAUGAUGAAAUCAUUACAGUGUGUAUUAAAGGAGAGGAGGAACUUGGGUUUGUGUAUCUUUGCAUUUUAAAAGUAAGGAUAUCAUUAUCACGGUACUUGACGUGGAAUGAGACAGUCUAACAUGCUCUGAAAGAAAGGGUGGAAAGGACCCCGCUUUACUGGUGUAAUCACUCAAUUCUCCUGGACCCGCCAUGGUUAAUGAAAGUAAAAGGGAAUAAAAAGCCUCAGCUUUUGGAAAUAUUUCAUAGCUGACAUUUUCCAUUGGCAUACUUUACUAGACUUGGAAGCCGGUAGUUUUUUCUAUGAGAAGAAUCAAGAGUAGAAAAACAAAUAUCCUUGUUUCUAAAGUUCCCAAACUAAGUCAGGUAGGAUGGCAAAAGCCUGUAAAUCCAAGAUCUGCAAGACUGGGGCAGAAGAACUAAGGACAACCUGGACUUCAGUCGUAAGACUCAGAUUAGGGUUAGGUCCAAGAAAUGAGUCUUCCAAAUGUGUGCUAUCAUUUUGCCCAUUUCCCAGUCCUCCAAAGCAAUAUGUGAAGCCUAUAGAAAUAUAAAACUACUAGAAAUUAAUUUCAUCAAUUAAUGAUUGCUCUGCGUGUCUAACUCUACUAUCUACCAAGAAAACUUGAGCAAAGUUAAACAUCUUCCCUUGUUUUCCAUUAACUGCUGUUGUGAAUUUUGCAGAUUUGUUUGUAAGCAAAUAAUAAAAAUCAUAGUUCUUUAUUACUAAGGGUUUAUUUACACAGUGAUUCAUGCAUAAUAAAAAAUAAGUUACAGUACAAAAGUACUCUUAGGAAGGAGACACUGAACAAGAACCUGAUAUCCCAUGAGUAUUCAAACAAGACACAAGCUGCAAGUUCCCUGGAGACAUUCUCUGUGAGUUUUUAACUACUUCAUUACAAAUAUGAAAUAUACACAGGCCAUCUGUUUAAAGAAAUAUCCAGUUGUUAUAUUCACAAGAGAAAAUAUAGCUCUAACUUGUAGCUUCAAAACUAGGUAUCAAAAUUUUAGACCAGGGUAUGGUGGAACAUGCCCUUAUUCCUAGCACUAGGGAGGCAGAGGCAGUAGGAUCUCUGAGUUCAAGGACAGCCUGGUCUACAGAGCAAGUUCUAGGAUAGACAGAACUAUAUAGUAGUGAGACCCUGUCUUAAUUUUUAAGGGGGGGGGAGGGAGAGAAAUAAAAACAAAACCUUUUUUAGGCAUUUUAAAAAGUGGAACAAGAUGUAUAGAAUGAAUUUCAAGACCAAAAUUUAUAUUUAAAUUAUGCCAAUUUGUUUGUAAAGACUGGGUAAAAUUACAAGAUCCAAUAUGUAGAAAUAGAAUCUUUUGGAAAUUCCAGUUUGUUAAAAAGAAAUAGUCUGUGUGGCCCAGUCAGUGAAGACUAAACCAUCACAUCGCAAAGAUUCACCCUGGACCUGAACUUUUAGAUGGUCUCUGUUCUCCAAACAAUGCUAGUGUGCACAGACCAUGUAACCAGACACAAAGAAGAAAGCCAUCCCUCUUCUUUCCAUAGGCCACUUGAAAAGUUUGCUUUAUACUCAAAUAAAGGGAAAAAUAAAAUUGGUUAUUUCCAUUUAGGUAGUCUUUGGCCCAUGGCAAAUUCUCCUUAAAGUAAGGUGAAUUAAAACCAAAAGUAUUUUAAAUAAUCUCUUCCAGUUCUCACACAUAAGACUGAAAAAAAAAAUGGUCAUUUGCUUUGAGUUGGCCUUCUUCACAAGUCUAUUUUCUUUUAAAGUUAUCGUGUAUCACGAAGUCUUCUAAUAAAUUGCUUAAGGGCUCCAGUCUGCAAAUGAAGAGAAUGUUGAGCUGGGGGUAAAAGGGAGCACACAGCAAGCACGCUGUCUGUGCUCAUUACAAACCUACAGUCGGGCUAGAUGUGGGGGUACACCCUUGAGUGAAGCACUUGAGAGCUGAGGCAGGGGGUGUCUCUAGGUUUCAGGCCAACACUGCAUAGUCAGCUCUAGAGCAGCCAGCACUACAUAGUGAGAACCUGACUAAAAAUAAAUAAAUAAAUACAAAAGUGAUGCUGAGAGAUUCAUCCUGGUAGCACUUGCUGGUGUCCUGGUGUUCUUGUGACCUUUUGUCAUUAUUGUGCUUAGAUUUGCGCUGUCAUCUAUAAACCUUGGAAUAAUUGACAAAACAAUAAACCUAGGAUACUGAAAAAAAAUCAGUAAAACAAGAUGUUUCCAUUUAAAGAUAGCCAUGAAAAUCAGACUUCCUGUGUGACUUUGGAUUUUGGUAUUAAUCAAAAGUGGCUGGAAUGGUUAGCUCAUCUUUUUAUGACUUAAUUUAUUUUUAUCUUGGGGGGGGGGUAUCUGCCUGCAUGUAUCACAUGCAUUCAGUGCCUGCAGACACCAGAAGAGAGUGUCACCUCCCCUAAAACUGGGUACUGAUGGUUGUGAGCCACCAAAUGGAUGCUGGGAACUGAACUGGGAUCUUCUGCAAGAGGAUAGAUGAGCUAUCUCUUCAGACCCCUGAGCACACCUGUGUGCUGUUCUAAAGAAACUAAAAUAUGAGAAGGUAUGUUCUGGCAGACAAGCUAGUUGGCUUCUUACCCCUCUGAUGCACAGAAAUAUGGGAGUCACACACCAUAGGAAUGUGGAAGGACAAAUAUGUAACCUCUUGGUUUGCAAAAGCUAACACACAAUUGCACUCUGGAAUUAGAUAGAACCGUAGCAACGAAGGUAAGUCUGAGUCUAGUAGCUCAGGCAGAACCCAAAGCUGCCAGGCAGGGGCGUUGCUCAUCUGGGCAGGUUUGUGCUGCAGAACCUGUAGGACGACAGACAGGUCAUCGCUGGAAACAUUUCUAUUGAUUUCAAGGGGUGCUGAUGGUGUCCUCAAAAAUCCUCAGCUUCUGGAAUACAAAAGUUUAAAAAGUCAAUGUUCUUGAGAAGAAUCUAAGAGGAAUACCUGGCAGUGCCAUCAUCCACUCCUAAUAGAAAUUUGGUUUGGUUUUUUUUUUUUUGAGACAGAGUAUAUAUCGUCUGUGAUUUCUGACAGGAGAUACAAAUUUAAACAAAUUUUAAAAAUCUCUGUAUCCCAGGCUGGCCUGGUCUUACACGCGUUCUCGAGACUGGCCAGGAAGAACACAACAAACCGGAAUCUUCUGCGGCAAAGCUUUAUUGCUUACAUCUUCAGGAGCCAGAGAGCAAGAGAGCAAGAGAGCAAGAGAGCAAGAGCUUUAUUGCUUACAUCUUUAGGAGCCAGAGCGCAAAAGAGCAAGAGCGCAAGAGCAAGAGUGCAAGAGUGCAAGAGAGCAAGAAAAAGAACAAGAAAGCAAGAGCAAGAGCAAGAGAGAGCAAGAAAGC